GCGCGAUUUGAUAUAGCGCGAGUUGGAGCUCCUGAGAAAAGAUACAGGAAACGCGUCACUGGCGCACCCUGCUGAUGCGAGAAAUGUGAUCAUGUCUCGUGUCGUUUGCCAUCUGGCUUUUUGAGAAAUUCAUUAUGGCGGCUCUAUUAUGGCAACGGAAACUGGAAAAAACGAUGGAAAAAUUCGUACGUGACUUCCUAUACGCCACACAAUUACUCAAAUCGGCUCCAAAAUAAUCAACUCAAGAUUCUUAAGGUCGCUGAUUACGACCUUAAGACCUUAAAUGCACCCUUUAUGCAUUUGCGAAUCAAUUGAGAUCUUCUGGAAUAUUAUCAUUAGAUUCAACAAUAAGCGCUCUAAGGAAAUUGGUACUCCUUGAGGAACAUUGGAAUACCGUUUUAUCAAUAAUGUUAUCAAUAAUUUUAUCAAUAACGGUGAUUUUAAAUGUUCUGACAAAGAUACAAUUAACCGUAAAAACUAUACAACAUGAUAUUAAUUUAAUAAAAUAAAAAUUAUUUGGAUACGAAAUGGGCCAACUCGAAACAGCUUUGAAGCAACAUGGUUUGGACAUUCCUUUUAUUAAUUUAAACCAAUGGACCUUAUUUGAAGCCUUGGUUGAGGAGAAUAAAACAGUUAACAAUUGUUUUAUUAAUAUUAUUGAGUUAUGCUUGGAUAAAAUUUCUAAUAAUCCAACGAAGAGUAUAACAAAUAUAUUAAAAAAAAUAAUGACGCAAAACCUUGCAAUGCAAUUUACGGCAGUAAAAACAAGCAAUACAAAGGAGAAUAUUUUUAAGGACCAGAAAUCAUUCCCGCUUAAAUUUCUACACAAGUUCACGUGCAGAAACAGCUGAUUUUUCAGCUCGACGGAGUUUCUGCGGCGGAAAAUACGUAAUGUGCUAAACGUGCGUUAUC